UGGAGCUAUGGAUGAGAAGUGCCUUAAAUUGGCAGAACUUGCUGCUCUAGCCGUUGAUUUCCCCAAAACUGGAAAACUUGUCACCAUGCCAUUUGACCUCAAACCAAAAAUGUAUCCCGACUUCAUGGGGAAAGAGCCGUUUCAAUCAUACGAGUCAAAGAAAAUUUUGGGUAAAUUAUAUAGGCAAGUGAUAGAUGUAUAUGAUGCAGAGGGUGGAGAAUCUUCUGGACUUGAGUAUGUCCCUAAAGACAUCCCAUAUGACACUAAUCUUGAGAUUCCGGGAUACGAAGAUUUCAUAGAUGAUGCAUGGAACCACAAAUGUUCUUAUGAUGGUCAGUUGAAUGGUCUUCUAGGACAAUACAAAGUAAACGGGGAGGAAGAGGUGGUUACUGGACAUAUAUGGUCCAUGCCAAAGUACAGUGCUAAGAAGCAAGGGGAAUUAAAAGAGAGGCUGAAACACGCAUAUAAUAUGUUGAGGAAGGAGUUCAGGAAUGUUUUCGAGCAAAUGGAGCCUGAUUUUGAUCUGCUUCCCAUUGAUGAGAAGAAUGAUAUGUAUGAAAGAAAGGCAUUUGCGUGGUAUCGGGUCACCUACCAUCCUCAUUGGGUGACUAGAUCACUAGAGCUG
rnacentral:misc_RNA from 1 species